GGGGUUAUAGCUCAGUUGGUAGAGCGCUUCGUUCGCAUCGAAGAGGUCAGGGGUUCAAAUCCCCUUAACUCCACAA
rnacentral:tRNA from 1 species